rnacentral:rRNA from 1 species
UACGUAGGGUGCGAGCGUUGUCCGGAAUUAUUGGACGUAAAGGGCUCGUAGGCGGUUUGUCGCGUCGGGAGUGAAAUCCACUGGCUUAACUGGUGGCUUGCUUUCGAUACGGGCAGACUGGAGGUAUGCAGGGGAGAACGGAAUUCCUGGUGUAGCGGUGAAAUGCGCAGAUAUCAGGAGGAACACCGGUGGCGAAGGCGGUUCUCUGGGCCGUAACUGACGCUGAGGAGCGAAAGCGUGGGGAGCGAACAGG